AUUAUAAAUAAAAGUUUGUUUAAUGUUAAUAAAAAAAUGUGAUUGUGUUUUUUAUUUUAUUUUAUUUGUUUACUUGUACUAUUUAUAUAUAAGGUAUGUGGUAACCUCUCUUAACAAGAAAGCUUCAAGUUGUUUAUACUUAAUAAUCUAUAAGUAGGGAUAGUCACUAUGUGAUAUCCAUGGAAAUUAAAUAUUUUUUGGGUGAUUUUCUUACACAAUAAUAUUUCUAUAAUAAUGAGAAUAUAUGAUGACUGCAUUAAGAAUAAAUUUUAAAAAAGAAUAAAAUAGAAAUCAAUAUCAUAUAGAUUAAAUGUAAGAAAGAAUUAAUAGAGAUAGAGAG
rnacentral:lncRNA from 1 species